UAAAUUUAUUAAAUUUUUUUUUUACAUGUAAAUUUUUGUGUGUUUUAUAAUUUAAUUUAAAUAGUUUUUUAUAUUGUUUUCAUUCGCAGUAUUUAAUUUUAAUAAUUUAAGAAAUUAAGAAUUAUAAAUAAAUUUUAUUAUUGACAAAUUUUGUGCCAGCAGUUGCGGUUAGACAAAAAAUAUAAAUAAAUUAUAUUAGUAAAUAAUUAUAUGUAAUUAGUUUAAAUUAAUAUUAUAUUUAUUAAGUGAAAUUUUAAUUAUAAUUUAAAUUUAAAAUUAAAUUUUUAUUAUUAUGAAAUUUAUUUUUAAACUAGGAUUAGAUACCCUAUUAUUUUAAAUGUAAAAUUAAAAUACUAAAGUAUUGUUAGUUAUGUUCUUUAAAUUUUAAGAUUUUGGCGGUAUUUUAGUCUAUUUAGAGGAACCUGUUCUAUGAUUGAUAGUCCACGAUUAACUUUACUUAAUUUAAAAUAAUUUGUAUACCGUCGUUAUAAGAAGAUUUUAAAAGAAUUUAAAUUUUUAAUUUUUUAUAUAAAAAAAAUAUAUCAGAUCAAGGUGCAGUUAAUAAUUAAGAAGAAAUGGGUUACAAUAAAUUUAUUUAUAAUGAAUUAAAGUAAGAAUAUGCUUUAUGAAGGUGGAUUUAAUAGUAAUAAAAUUAAUUUUUAUUUUAUGAUUUUAGCUCUAAAAUAUGUACAUAUCGCCCGUCGCUCUUAUUAUAAAGUAAGAUAAGUCGUAACAUAGUAGAUGUACUGGAAAGUGUAUCUAGAAUGAC
rnacentral:ncRNA from 1 species